UAAAUCAGACAGGUUGAUAGUGUGUAAC
rnacentral:piRNA from 1 species